CCACAGCCUCCCCUCUUUCAUUUUCUCUUUCCUCUCAGUCUAUCUUAUAUUUUUCUUCUUUGUUCUCUAUUCUUUUUAUCUUUUUCUCCCUCUCUUGCUUCCUUUUGUUCUCCAGGGUGGCCGGUGUGGGCAGCUGGUGGCUUCCAUAAACUUCAAAUCUUUUUCAAGAUCAUGCAUUCUUGCAACCGGGGAAGAAUGGCCUACAAAGCCUGGUUUGGACCACAUAUAUCCCGGAUUUCCUUGGACCGACUCAACUAUUUGUCCCAGCUCCAAGUUUCAAGAAGCCAGUCAAGACUGUCAGGAAUUCAAAGAGUCUCACUCUGUUGCUCCAGCUGGAAUGCAACGGCACGAUCUCGGCUCACUGCAACCUCCGCCUCCCAGGUUCAAGCCAUUCUCCUGCCUCGGCCUUCUAAGCAGCUGGGACUACAGGCAUGCACCACCAUACCCAGCUAAUUUUUGUAUUUUUAGUAGAGAUGGAGUUUCACCAUGUUGGCCUGGCUGGUCUCAAACUCCUGACCUCAAGUGAUCUGCCUACUUCGGCCUCCCAAAGUGCUGGGAUUACAGGCAUGAGCCACUGCUCCUGGCCCCAUUACUUAGCUUUUUUUUAAAAAUACACUUUAUGGAUAAAGGUCCAUGAAAAGGAUAUUAGCUCUCUGGCAUAUAAGGAAAAAGAUAAAAUCACGUUGUAAUUAACAAUUCGGCCCCUUUUUUCACUAAAUACACAUGUCCUCAAUAUCACCAAAUAUGGCUUAAUUUAGUAUCUCUCAGAGCUCAACGAUGCCAUUCUGUAGUAGAAAUGUAACUUCUAAUUACACAGCAUUAACAUUAUGAACUAUUUUAAAACUUUACUAACAGGUUACAACAGGCCGUGAACUAUAUCUGAGGCCAAAUCUUAUGAGGUUCUCAAAAGCUCUUUUAUAGAUCAUUUAGAAAGAUUAAAGAAACCCACCCUACCCCUGACAGUCCGUGCCCAGUCAAUCGAAGGUCCCAUUAAACAUUAAACAGACCCUUAUUUUCUGCUUUCCAACUAUGGAUUUCUAUCUCUCCACAAAUUGUAUCAUUGGCAAUUUAACUUUUAAAACAUGCUUUCAUAUUUAUCAUCUCAUUUUAUCUGUGAAUGCAGUUAGGGGCAUAUAUAAAAUAGAAAUAACAGCUCCAUUGUUCCUUUGACUAUGGUUCACAGUCAAUAUCUUACCUCUUUCUCUAAAAUGUCAAGUGUACAAAAGUAAAUGACUAGGAGCAGAGGACGGAAGAGCCACGGCUGGGGAGGGGACAGGGGUUGAGAGAGAAGGAUCUGGGGAAGAAUGAAGAGCAACAGGAAUAAGAACCACCACAUUUUGGGGUUAAACUUUCAGAAAGCAUUAGGAAUUCAUUUCUGAAUUCCUAAAUGGCAUAGGAAAGAAAGAUACCUAAAUAUGUGAGAUUAUUUUAAUACGAUGUCUCCACAUAUGGGAAAGAAGGGCAUAACACACUCCUUACAUGUGUAACCAACAUCUGGGAAUCCUAUUGCUCAACUGGGGUUAGAAGGAUCUCUUCUCAGAAAUAAGCUGCUCUGAUAUUUGGGACUGUGUUGAAAUGUCAAAUCAUCAUUCCUGCUCAUGUUUUUUAACUCGGUGUAUACACAAAAAUGUUGCUGUUCACAAGUCCUAAAAAUGAAAUCUAAACUUGAGUGGUAAGGAUUAUGUAUCUAUACGGCAUGCAGAUAAAAUGUACUACUAAUGGGGGUAAUUAAGUUGGGAGGAGAUUCAAUAAAGCAGAGUGUACAAAGUCAGAAAUCAUGCUACUGUAGAAAUUAAAAGUGACUUCAAUUAGACGAGCUUCUUUUCCCCCAGAAAUUAUUUUUGCUUGGAAAGAGCCAGCUAAGGCUGGGCUCAGUGGCUGUCACCUGUAAGCUCACCAUUUUGGGAGGCUGAGGCAAAGGGAUCUCUUGAGGCUGGCAGUUUGAGACCAGCCUGGACCACAU